GACGUAGGGCGCGAGCGUUGUCCGGAUUUAUUGGGCGUAAAGAGCUCGUAGGCGGCUUGUCGCGUCGGAUGUGAAAGCCCGGGGCUUAACUCCGGGUCUGCAUUCGAUACGGGCAGGCUAGAGUUCGGUAGGGGAGAUCGGAAUUCCUGGUGUAGCGGUGAAAUGCGCAGAUAUCAGGAGGAACACCGGUGGCGAAGGCG
rnacentral:rRNA from 1 species